AGCGAACGCUGGCGGCAGGCUUAACACAUGCAAGUCGAACGGGCGUAGCAAUACGUCAGUGGCAGACGGGUGAGUAACGCGUGGGAACGUACCUUUUGGUUCGGAACAACCCAGGGAAACUUGGGCUAAUACCGGAUAAGCCCUUACGGGGAAAGAUUUAUCGCCGAAAGAUCGGCCCGCGUCUGAUUAGCUUGUUGGUGAGGUAACGGCUCACCAAGGCGACGAUCAGUAGCUGGUCUGAGAGGAUGAUCAGCCACAUUGGGACUGAGACACGGCCCAAACUCCUACGGGAGGCAGCAGUGGGAAUAUUGGACAAUGGGCGCAAGCCUGAUCCAGCCAUGCCGCGUGAGUGAUGAAGGCCCUAGGGUUGUAAAGCUCUUUUGUGCGGGAAGAUAAUGACGGUACCGCAAGAAUAAGCCCCGGCUAACUUCGUGCCAGCCGCCGCCGUAAG
rnacentral:rRNA from 1 species